GGUUCGAUCAUGGCUCAGAUUGAACGCUGGCGGGAUGCUUUACACAUGCAAGUCGAACGGCGGCAGCACGGACUUCGGUCUGGUGGCGAGUGGCGAACGGGUGAGUAAUGUAUCGGAACAUUGCCUGAAGUAGCGGGGGAUAACUGCAUGGCCUUCUUCAAUACCACAUACGCCCUUCGGGGAAAGCGGGGGACCUUCGGGCCUCGCACUAUUAAACGGCCGAUAUCGGAUUAGCUAGUUGGUGGGGUAACGGCUCACCAGGCGACGAUCCGUAGCUGGUUUGAGAGGACGACCAGCCACGCUGGGACUGAGACACGGCCCAGACUCCUGCAGGAGAGCAGCAGUGGGGAAUUUUUGGACAAUGGAAACCCUGAUCCAGCCAUCCCGCGUGCUGCGAUGAAGGUAACUGGGUUGUAAAGCACUUUUGGCAGGAAAAACGGCGCAGGAUAACCCGUGCAACCUGACAAUACCUGCAGAAUAAGCACCGUAUACGUGCCAGCAGCCGCGGUAAUACGUAGGGUGCAAGCGUUAAUCGGAAUUACUGGGCGUAAAGCGUGCGCAGGCGGUUCGGAAAGAAGAUGUGAAAUCCCAGAGCUUAACUUUGGAACUGCAUUUUUAACUGCCGAGCUAGAGUGUGUCAGAGGGAGGUGGAAUUCCGCGUGUAGCAGUGAAAUGCGUAGAUAUGCGGAAGACACCGAUGGCGAAGGCAGCCUCCUGGAUAACACUGACGCUCAUGCACGAAAGCGAUGGGGAGCAAACAGGAUUAGAUACCCUGGUAGUCCACGCCCUAAACGAUGUCAACUAGCUGUUGGGGCCUUCGGGCCUUGGUAGUACAUUUAACGUGAAGUUGACCGCCUGGGGAAGCACAGUCGCAAGAUUAAAACUCAAAGAGAUUGACGGGGACCCGCACAAGCGGUGGAUGACGUGGAUUAAUUCGAUGCAACGCGAAAACCUUACCUACCCUUGAAGCAUGUCUGGAAUCCCGAGAUUUGGGAGUGCUCGCAAGAGAGACGGAACACAGGUGCUGCAUGGCUGUCGUCAGCUCCGUCGUGAGAUGUUAGGUUAAGUCCGCAAUGUGGCGCAACCCUUGACUUAUUUAGUUGCUACGAAGGGCACUCUAAUGGGACUGCCGAUGACAAACCGGAGGAAGGUGGGGAUGACGUCAAGUCCUCGCAUGGCCCUUAUAGGUGGGGCUUCACACGUCAUACAAUGGUCGGGACAGAGGGUCGCCAACCCGCGAGGUAAUCCCAGAAACCCGAUCGUAGUCCGGAUCGCAGUCUGCAACUCGACUGCGACGAAGUCGGAAUCGCUAGUAAUCGCGGAUCGGCAUGUCGCGGUGAAUACGUUCGGGUCUUGCUUACCUGCACCGUCACACCAUGGGAGUGGGUUUUGCAAGUAGUUAGCCUAACCGUAAGGAGGGCGAUUACCACGGUAGGAUUCAUGACUGAGGUGAAGUCGUAACGCAAAGGUAAG
rnacentral:rRNA from 1 species